GACGAACGCUGGCGGCGUGCUUAACACAUGCAAGUCGAACGGAAAGGCCCUGCUUUUGUGGGGUGCUCGAGUGGCGAACGGGUGAGUAACACGUGAGUAACCUGCCCUUGACUGUGGGAUAACUUCAGGAAACUGGGGCUAAUACCGGAUAGGAGCUCCUGCUGCAUGGGGGGGGUUGGAAAGUGUCGGCGGUGGGGGAUGGACUCGCGGCUUAUCAGCUUGUUGGUGGGGGAGUGGCUUACCAAGGCUUUGACGGGUAGCCGGCCUGAGAGGGUGACCGGCCACAUUGGGACUGCGAUGCGGCCCAGACUCCUACGGGAGGCAGCAGUGGGGAAUAUUGCACAAUGGGCGGAAGCCUGAUGCAGCAACGCCGCGUGCGGGAUGACGGCCUUCGGGUUGUAAACCGCUUUCGCCUGUGACGAAGCGUGAGUGACGGUAAUGGGUAAAGAAGCACCGGCUAACUACGUG
rnacentral:rRNA from 1 species